GAUGAACGCUGGCGGCGUGCCUAAUACAUGCCAGUCGAACGGACAGACGCGGCGCUUGUUCCUCUCACGUUAGCGGAGGGCGGGUGAAUAACACGUGGAUAACCUCCCUAUCUGUCUGGGAAAAUUUCGGGAAUCCGGAGCAAAUCCCGGAUAAUAUAUUGAACCGCAUGGUUGGAUGGUAAAUGACGGUUUUUGUGGAACUUCUCGCUGGUUCUGCGCCGCGUGAGCUGGUUGGUAAGGUACAGGCUUACCAAGGCAAUGAUGCGUAACCGAGUUGAAAGGGUGAUCGGCCACACUGGAACUGAGACACGGUCCAGACUCCUACGGGAGGCAGCAGUAUGGAAUCUUCCGCAAUGGUCGAAAGCUUGACGGAGCAACGCCGCGUGAGUGAUGAAGGUCUUCGGAUCGUAAAACUCUGUUAUUAGGGAAGAACAAAUGUGUAAGUAACUAUGCACGUCUUGACGGUACCUAAUCAGAAAGCCACGGCUAACUACGUG
rnacentral:rRNA from 1 species